rnacentral:snRNA from 1 species
AAUGGAUCCGUAACUUCGGGA